UUGUGAUCUGGGAAAGUCAUUUAACACCAGGACCCUUGUUUUCUUAUCUGUAACAUGGAGAUGCUGGUAACUCGUGCCUCAUAAAAUCACUUGAUGUGGGUGAGAGAGAAAGCUAAGUGUUGAUGACAGUGUGGGCCUGACCGUGCCUGAGUAAGCCCCAUGGGAACACAGCCGUGGUGGGAAGCAGCUUCCCAGCAGCCCUCCCCGCCAUCGGGAGAAUCCCCUGAGGCCAUGAGAGGGUCUCAGGGAGGUGGACGGCCCAUCAAGUGAGAACCGAGGGCACUGUGCACUCCUGAAUCCUAGGACUCCUCUUAGGUUUGGAGGCUCUGGUGAUAAGGGGAACUGCUUCCAGCAGAAAACAAAGUCAUAGCGGUGUGAAACUGAGACCACCCAGUUAGGGCUUUACGUGCCACGAGAACCACAUGCAGAUGAGGUGGUUGGGUGAACCGUUCAAGGUGCUGUAGCUUU
rnacentral:lncRNA from 1 species